ensembl:snoRNA U3 Small nucleolar RNA U3
AGCAGUUUCUCUAGCUCCUUAGCAGAGAAGUUUCUGUCAAAUGUGUACAGCAUCAGAAACCAAGAGGUGGCAGCAGUGUUCUCCACUGAACAUGAGGUUGGCUCUUGGUGUUGCUUUGCUGUGGCUGUCAUUUGCCAUCGAUGAUGGUUCUCUUCCUCCAGGGGAGAGGGAGAGAAUGCAGUCUGAGUGGG